ACUUCUGUAUUUACCAGGCACUGGCAUAGCCUCACAAGAGACAGCUAUAUCAGGCUUCUUUCAGCAAAAUCUUGCUGGCAUAUGCAAUAGUGUCUGUGUUAAUAUGGUACCAACCACAUAAGAAUGUCCUAGGAAAUACUACUAGUGUGGUUUUUAGAACAAAGAUAAUCAUAUAUGUUGCAUAUAUUUUCUUCAGUUCCAAAUACUGCUCUAUCCAUGUAACAAAUUUCUGUUCAUUUUUCCCAGCAAGACCUCCUCAACCCCUGUAGAGCAACAGAGUCUCUACACCUUCAAUCCCUUCACAGACUUUCUUCUGCUCUGUACAUUGUAUUCUAAUGGUGCCUACGCUCAUCAUGUCUUCUCUUCCAUAUAGACUGUUAAAGCUAGUGGUACAGUCUUCUUAAAGAAACUCCUAAUACCUAGCACAAAAAAAGAUGAAAAGAAGGGGUGGUGGUAUGAAAGGGAAGAAUAAAGUAAACAAGCUCAUUUGUCUUUUAGCUUCUCUUGUGGUCUCCAUCACUCCAAGGAGAUCUCCACAGUGAAGCACUGAUCUCACUUACCAACUCGGACAGUGACCGGAUUAACAGUUCCCAAGUUUCCUGUGCAGGCAUAAAUAACAAGAUAUUAAUUCACUCACAGUUGACUAAUCUGUUUCCCAUUUGAUGAUAAUGCUCACUAUUGACUAAGGCUGUUCCCCCAUCACUAUCUCUUGUCUGUGAAUGGCUUAUAGUUCACUGUUUAGCACAAAAGAGCUAGAACAUCACUCUUACAGCAUCCCACAUAGCACUUUCGGUUUAGUUUUCAUUUGUAUGAUUAUGUUCUUCCUUGUUCUAUUCCUUGUCCUUCCUUCUUCUUCCUUGUCAUAUUGUAACUGCAUAUCCAACACUGGAUUGCAAGAAGUAGCUAAAGCAAUGAAUGAGUGAAUGGAUGAUCAUGAUUUAAUAUCUGGGAUUCCUUGUUUGGCAACUGUUUAUAAGUCUAAGUAAAAAAUGAAAGAUGGCAGAUUAGACUCCCUCGGGGUGUAUACAGUAUGGAUUGUUCCUAAUGUUAAAACUUAGUUUUUUGUGCCUUUCCUAAGACCUACUAAGUAACCUAAGACUAAGACCAAGAAUAAGGAAAUCAGAAUUUCCCUUGUGUUGCUUACAAAUUCACUAAAGUUUGGCAAUGGCUACUACAUAGGAUACAAAAUGAUGUAAGUACUAAAGUGGAAUGUAUAGUUGAGAAAGCUCAAGAAAUUGGAAGAGUUUUAUGAAAUAUAGGAAUGGACAAAAUGAUAGGAUUCUUAUUUGGUAGUCAGAAAGGCAAUAACACCAUGAAUAAAAUAUAGGCAGUUUGAGCGUGCAUAUGGGAAGGAUAUCCCACUGACAAACACCAUAUAAAGAACUAAGACCCUACUUUGGGGAAGACAAUGCAAACACACUGGGGGUAAAAUAAGAAGGUAAAAUAAAACUAUGCCACGAAAGUUGUGUGCUUUUGAAGCCGGAGAAGGUAUUGCACUAUAAUAAAUAGCAAAGGUAUUUUCAUGGCAUGCCACAGCACAGGGAGCUAAGACAAAUUUUUCUCAUUUCUUAGUGUCAAACCCUAUAUUAAAGGCAGGCUGCUCCUGUUUAUUUCAUGGUGAAAGCACCACAUUCGCCUUGGUAAAUAGUUCUUUAUGCAGUAGAGUCUUGAACUUGGCAACAUCCCAGCCAGGAAAGAGAUAUGGCACCCGAGCAAUGCUAGGAAGCAAGGAAGGAGUGCCAGGGAUCUAAUUUGGGGAAAGAUCUGAAUGCAAAUGCCUCUGUUAAGUAGUCACAUUUUUGAAAGUUGUUUGGGUUUCCAUAGUUCAGAUGUAUUUAUAAUUUGUAGGCUUUAAAAUAGAGAAUCUAUACUUAGAACCAGGUUUUUCUGUGUAUAAAGAUGGGCUGAGGCCAGUAAAUGCUACCCAAGAGAAGAAACCUUUAGACAUGGAACUAUUUUUGGCCCACAAGAGUCUCUGUGUUUUUGUGUUGUGGAAAACCUGUUAUUUAAAAUAUCCUUAAGUUGAAUAACCCAAAAGUAAGUCAUCCCUCCC
rnacentral:lncRNA from 1 species